rnacentral:rRNA from 1 species
AGUCAUAUGCUUGUCUCAAAGAUUAAGCCAUGCAUGUCUCAGUACAAGCCAAAUUAAGGUGAAACCGCGAAAGGCUCAUUAAAUCAGUUAUGGUUCCUUAGAUCGUACCCACACUUACUUGGAUAACUGUGGUAAUUCUAGAGCUAAUACAUGCAAACAGAGCUCUGACCGGAGACGGAAGGAGCGCUUUUAUUAGAUCAAAACCAAUCGGCGGCGGGCUUUGCCUGUCGUCGUUCAACCUGGUGAAUCUGAAUAACUUUGUGCUGAUCGCACGGUCUAGCACCGGCGACGCAUCUUUCAAAUGUCUGCCUUAUCAACUGUCGAUGGUAGGUUCUGCGCCUACCAUGGUUGUAACGGGUAACGGGGAAUCAGGGUUCGAUUCCGGAGAGGGAGCCUGAGAAACGGCUACCACAUCCAAGGAAGGCAGCAGGCGCGCAAAUUACCCACUCCCGGCACGGGGAGGUAGUGACGAAAAAUAACGAUACGGGACUCAUCCGAGGCCCCGUAAUCGGAAUGAGUACACUCUAAAUCCUUUAACGAGGAUCAAUUGGAGGGCAAGUCUGGUGCCAGCAGCCGCGGUAAUUCCAGCUCCAAUAGCGUAU